rnacentral:ncRNA from 1 species
AAGAGAAUUAUUUGAUCAAAAUAAGAAAGAAGGUUUUUAGAUGAAAAUAGAUGUAAAAUUUUAAAUAGGGGCUUGGUUUAAAAAAUUGCAUUAGGGGAUUUUCAGUGUUUGAGGUUAAUAAAAUUAUUGGGGGUAAUUUUAGUUAAUUUAAAACUAUAGGGGUAAAAUGAUGUGCCAGCAUUCGCGGUUACACAUCAUCCUUGAAUCUUUAUUUUUAGUUAGGAGGUUAGUAAGUAUAAAAAGAAAUUAAUUUGUUUUAAGGGGGGUGAAAUAAGUUAAAAUUGAUUUAUAUUGAAAAUUUUCAAAAUUUUGGGUUUAAACUAGGAUUAGAUACCCUAUUAUUCAAAUUUAUUCAAUAUUUUUUUUUAGGAAUUUGGUUAUACAUUAAAUUAAAUUGAUUUGGCGGUUUUUUAAACUAUUUAGAGGAACCUGUUGAUUAAUUUGAUAAUCCACAAUUUAAAUUACCUUAAUUUUCUUGUAUAUCUCUAUAAUUGAAUAUAUUUUGAGGUCAAUUUUCUUUUUUCUAUAGUAGAAUUUAAUUUAGGUCAAGGUGCAGUUGUAUUAAGGUUUAAAUGGGUUACAAUAAUUUUGGUUUGUGGGUAAUCUAUUUGAAUAGAUUUAAAAUUGGAUUUAAAAGUAAAAUUUUUUAUUAAAAAUUUUGAAUUAUGCUCUAAAUCAUGUACAUAUCGCCCGUCAUUCUCAUCAAGUGAGACAAGUCGUAACAAAGUAGAUGUAUUGGAAAAUGUAUCUAG